GACGGAGGAUGCAAGCGUUAUCCGGAAUGAUUGGGCGUAAAGCGUCCGCAGGUGGCAGUUCAAGUCUGCUGUCAAAGACCGGGGCUUAACUUCGGAAAGGCAGUGGAAACUGAACAGCUAGAGUAUGGUAGGGGCAGAGGGAAUUCCUGGUGUAGCGGUGAAAUGCGUAGAGAUCGGGAGGAACACCAGAGGCGAAGGCGGCGACCUGGAGAGUGACUGACACUCAACUGCGAAAGCGUGGGGAGCAAACAGG
rnacentral:rRNA from 1 species